rnacentral:rRNA from 1 species
UACGGAGGGUGCAAGCGUUAAUCGGAAUUACUGGGCGUAAAGCGUGCGCAGGCGGUUUGUUAAGUCCGUUGUGAAAGCCCAGAGCUCAACUUGGGAAUUGCAGUGGAUACUGGCAGGCUGGAGUACGGUAGAGGAAGGUGGAAUUCCCGGUGUAGCAGUGAAAUGCGUAGAUAUCGGGAGGAACACCAGUGGCGAAGGCGGCCUUCUGGACCAGUACUGACGCUCAUGCACGAAAGCGUGGGGAGCAAACAGG